AUGGGUCAAUGCCCGUGAUGGAAUGUUUUCCACUCCAAGAAAGUGUAGUGGUCUUCCUCUCCGCUCUAGAUACUGAUGGUGGAAGCCUGAAUACAGCUGCAAACAUGAACGUCAAGGGAACUGUCAAUAUAGGGAAGAAUUGAUCAUCUUGCAUUACAUAGGAGGAGAUUAUCUUCAAGUAACUUGUAGUAACCCGCAUGGUUGCAUAUUAUAAUCAGUCCUUUACUAUGUACUUAGAAGGAAAAUAAUCUUCUAACAUCUGUUAAUAAAUCUUUUAUUUGGAGAUGGACUAUGUUUUAGCCAAAUUGAUGUACUAUUUUUCAGGAAAUAGAGAUACUUAAGUGGUUUCUCAUUAAUUCUAACCUUUCUUCCAAGGCAACCGCAAUUCGUCUAACUGUUGUAUCAAGAAAAAAUGGAUUUCUUACCUCAUAGACCAGCCAUGUGCAACCUGCUAGUGGAUGGUCAUGAGGACUAUGCUACUACUUUUAGCAAUGUCUUGAACUUUUCCAACAACCCUAAAAGCACUUGAGAAUCAAUAUCAAAUGUAGGUUCAUCAAGAAACAACAGAGAUAAUGUUAUAUCUAUAACAGGUUAUCUUAAAUACUUCGACUGAUAGUAGCCCCCAAGGCCUAGCUCAAGUGGCAGAAGGUGGAGGAUUUGUGGCUUAGGUCGCAGGUUCAAGCCCCACACCAUGCAAAGCGAAGCCCGGUAUUUAAGUGGAGAAGGGUAGAGGGGCGGGCCCAUUAUCCACCGAGUUUAGAAGGCUGUGAUUGGUCCAAAGGGCGGGUCACAGACGGAUUUCUCGGUUAUAAAAAAAAAAUAAAAAAAAAUACUUCGACUGAUAGUAGAACUUUUUCAGAUGUGUGGAUGAAAAAUGAAGAAAUCAGUGAGAUUUGGUUUCAUCACAUAUUUUGACCAACAAAUAGACAAACUUUUGCCGUCACUGGUGCAAAAUAUAAAUUUGAACUAACCUUGCCUCUCAGCGCAGCAUAUAGAAGGGCUCCAAAGCCACCUUCUUCAGUCUUAUUCAAAAUGCUGAAGUCAUACGAAAAAUCCAGACUUGUCCACAUGUAUGCCCAAAAGACGUUGUUGAAGCAUCAUCAUCAAAGUCAGUGACUUAGAC
rnacentral:lncRNA from 1 species